GGAUUCGAAACAGGUGGCUCUGUGAUGGCGACCGUCUCUCAGAGUCACGCGUCUGCAGGGCUGGGGCCCUAGGCCUUGCUCAAUGGGUGGUGGCAGGCUGGUGGGGGCAGGGGCACCCCCUUCCCAUCCGCAUCACCUUGGCUUCCAACAGGAGGGACCACCAGGCUGUGCACGGAGCUGCUUUCCACGCAACCGGGGACAGAGGGAGCAGGACACGGGCCACCACUCCAGAAAACGGGGACAGUGUCCCUCUCCACUCUACAAGCGUCAGACCCAGAGCUCCGGAAACCAGCUGAGGAACCAGGCCACGCGGGACCCACAAGGAGCCAGGAGCACCCAUUCUCAGCUCAGUGGGUCUAUUCCCCUUUGCCCUUCAUGGCCUGAGGCACCCCGCAGUGUGAUUGAAAGCCCAGAGCCUGAUCUCAACCCAAAACUGUGUGUCAGUGUGAAAUGCCGAGGCUGCCUGGGCAUCAGAGUUGGCUGCCCCGUGCCAAGAUUCUUCUCCAGGGCUGUGACGAGUUGAGGCCAGGCCUGGGGCCUGGUGGGGGAUGGGGAACCUCCAUUUCUGCCCUUGGUCUCCCAAUGUUCCCCACUCCUCCCCUCAUCCUGCGUCCUCCCCAAGCGUCGGCAGAGCUAGGAUGGACCGUGUGUACCCCACAAUACACCAGGCUGGCCAGCGGGCAGCUGAAGCCCGGGAGACGCGGCCAGGAGGUAGUCCUGGUGCAUGAAUGACUACAGGGAUGGGGGAGGUGCUAAAGGAGUAACGUGAGCCUGCAUCCCCACCUGUGACAGAUAUGGGAGGGCCGCCUGAGCUGACAGUGAAGUUGGGGUGCCAGCUGGGGUCUCCUGGGCAGGUCCUGAACCCAGCUGAGGGGUCCAAAUCCCCCUAUGAGGGGUCUGUGCCUGAAGCCUGGCCCCAGGAGGCAAGACCCACACACCAUGGAUGCAAGGCCUCAGCGAGGGUUCCGAGGAGCUGGUGGGCAUGGAGGGCGGGGGUCCCCAGGAAACAGCGACCCCACCCCGACCCUGCACUGUCCUCAUAGAGACACAGGCACAGGAGAACAUGCGAUAGGGCCCGCAUGGGGUCUCGUUGAUAAGACGGCUCAUUAUGUCAGCCUCACAAAGAAUAAAUCACAGUGAUCCGUGAGACUGACCAAAUUGCCCAAACGGCAUCCUGUUAUCUCACUGGCACCUAUCUUCUCAGAGCUGCAAGACCACCAGAUUCCAGACAUCUGGCUAUGUGACCAUCCCUUCAGAGAAUUUUUCACUGGUGGGGUAUAAGAAGGACUCCGUCAGAAAGAGAGAACACUGGUUCUCCUUAAGAGCCAGUCACCCUCUCUCUUCCCUCUAAUAA
ensembl:lncRNA